ensembl:lncRNA
GGCAGUCCAAAGUAGACAUCUGUGCAUAUUCAUUAAUAGGCAUUCAACAGCAAGAAGGAGACUAUGAAAAUUACACCAGCCGCCACUGAAGCAUAUGAAUCAUUUCAGCUGACAAGGAAACAAAGCUUCUGUUUGCUGUACCACUUCAGAUUGCAGUAGGGGUUGCAACAAAAGGCAAGCAUUUCUUUCCUAAUGUCUGAAAAGCCAGUCUGACGUUACGGCAAAACUUGAUAUUAUAUACAGCAUUUAUAUACAUGUUUAGUACAGUUAAUUCUAGAACAAGAUAGGUAAAUGUGGACUCCUAGAAAUUAGAUCUGUC